rnacentral:rRNA from 1 species
CAAGACCGCGAGGUGGAGCAAANCCCUAAAAGCCAUCCCAGUUCGGAUUGCAGGCUGCAACCCGCCUGUAUGAAGUUGGAAUCGCUAGUAAUCGCGGAUCAGCAUGCCGCGGUGAAUACGUUCCCGGGCCUUGUACACACCGCCCGUCACACCAUGAGAGUCGGGAACACCCGAAGUCCGUAGCCUGACCGCAAGGGGACGCGGCCGAAGGUGGGUUCGAUAAUUGGGGUGAAGUCGUAACAAGGUAUC